GUUUGGGUCCUAUCCACCAAUCAUGACAUGAAGUACUUGGGUUAACAAUAAGGGGAAAGAUGGUUAAAAAGUGAUCACAGCAAGGAAACUCAAAAUGCACCAGGAAAACGGAAGAUAAGAAGAGCUUUAGCUGAAACCCAGAGAGAUGAAGAACAGUGUUUCAGAUCCUCAGGCGGUCAGAAAGGAGACACAGCGGAGAGCAAACUCAAGACGACUCCUGGAGUGCAGGGAGGAUGAUAAAACCAUCACUAAAGGAGAGAAACAGUGGGCGGCUGUGCAAUGAUUGUGUUAAGAUGAGAAUCUGUUUCCUGUGCUCUCCCAGUUUGAGGCUUACCUUCGUCCUCCAGCCUGAGUUUGCAUUGGACUAUCAUCCUAAAACCAAUUCUCCCCAUACGGACAUUACAACUGCAAAGAUCUCUCACUUAUUGCAUCAUUCUGGUUCGACAUGCCACUCUCCUACACCAACCUGUGAACCUCACCUACCAUAUCGCCUUCCUGGAACCUGGAAUUGUACCCUUCAAGCC